AAGUCGUAACAAGGUCUCCGUAGGUGAACCUGCGGAGGGAUCAUUACAAGUGACCCCGGUCUAACCACCGGGAUGUUCAUAACCCUUUGUUGUCCGACUCUGUUUCUAUAUGUAACUUCUGAGUAAAACAAACAAAUAAAUCAAAACUUUCAACAACGGAUCUCUUGGUUCUG
rnacentral:misc_RNA from 1 species